GUGUCAGCCGCCGCGGUAAGACGUAGGGGGCGAGCGUUGUCCGGAAUUACUGGGCGUAAAGCGCGUGCAGGCGGUCCGUUAAGUCCCGUGUUAAAGCCUCCAGCUCAACUGGGGAAUGCCGCGGGAGACUGGCGGGCUUGAGGGCGGUAGAGGGUGAUGGAAUUCCCGGUGUAGCGGUGAAAUGCGUAGAUAUCGGGAGGAACGCCAGUGGCGAAGGCGGUCACCUGGGCCGUCCCUGACGCUGAGACGCGAAAGCUGGGGGAGCAAACGGGAUUAGAUACCCCCGUAGUCC
rnacentral:rRNA from 1 species